rnacentral:tRNA from 1 species
UAGCCUAGUGGUUAAGGCUAUGGAUUGCCAAUCCGUAGAUGGCGCGGCGGGUUCGAUUCCCGU